AGAAUCAGAAAUAAGAAUGGCUUCAGAUUUCUCAGUAUCUACACACUGGAACCUAGAACCAGUGAGGCAAUGCUUUCAAAAUUCUGGAACAUGAUUUCCAAAGUUACCAAUGAAAUGUGGUGGUAAAACAAAGAUAUUGGUCUCAGAAAAUUUACCAUCCAUACAUUUCUACAGGAAGUAUUAGAGGGCAUGCUCCAUUCAGUAAACCAAGAAAGAUGAAGACAUGGGAUCCAGGAAACAGGAGAGCUGACCGAAGAGUGGUGAAGGAAAUCUCUAGAACACAGGUGAAGGGAGACCCAAGAAAGACAGCUGUGCCCCAGGCGUUAAGAGCAACCAGUCCAGAUUGGUGCAAGUUAGAAGCCACAGGGAACAAACGAAAAAUCAAGACAUUAAGGGAAAAAGUGAAGUGGGGUAUUGCUGGAUCAAAGGCUCU
rnacentral:lncRNA from 1 species